CGGAGGGGCUAGCGUUGUUCGGAAUUACUGGGCGUAAAGCGCACGUAGGCGGAUUGGAAAGUCAGAGGUGAAAUCCCAGGGCUCAACCCUGGAACUGCCUUUGAAACUCCCAGUCUUGAGGUCGAGAGAGGUGAGUGGAAUUCCGAGUGUAGAGGUGAAAUUCGUAGAUAUUCGGAGGAACACCAGUGGCGAAGGCGGCUCACUGGCUCGAUACUGACGCUGAGGUGCGAAAGCGUGGGGAGCAAACAGGAUU
rnacentral:rRNA from 1 species